UACCAGCUCUCCGAGUGGUGUGGAUGUUUAUUGGGCCUAAAGCAUCCGUAGCUGGCUGGGCAAGUCCCCUGUUAAAUCCACCGAUUUAAUCGUUGGUGUGCGGGGGAUACUGUUCGGCUAGGGGACGGGAGAGGCCGACGGUACUUUCGGGGUAGGGGUGAAAUCCUAUAAUCCCGGGAAGACCACCAGUGGCGAAGGCUGUCGGCUAGAACGCGCCCAACGGUGAGGGAUGAAAGCUGGGGGAGCGAACCGGAUUAGAUACCCGGGUGGUCCCAGCUGUAAACGAUGCAGGCUAGGUGUUUGGGCGGCCACGUGCCGCUCUAGUGCCGCAAAGAAGUUGUUAAGCCUGCCGCCUGGGGAGUACGGCCGCAAGGCUGAAACUUAAGGAAUUGGCGGGGGAGCACAGCAACGGGAGGAGCGUGCGGUUU
rnacentral:rRNA from 1 species